rnacentral:misc_RNA from 1 species
GCCGCGAACGUUUUCCGUCGACGUCAUCGACGGACGACAACGAGAGCGGCACGGACGGGGAAGCCGACCGCUCGCGGCUGGCGCGCCAGAUCCUGCAUGGGGUACACGCGACCCCCCCGCCCGGCAUCAUAGCCGUGCGCAAACGCCGCGGCAACCUGCCCAAGACCUCGGUGAAGAUCCUCAAGAGGUGGCUAUACGACCACAGAUACAACGCCUACCCGAGUGAUGCAGAGAAACUGACGCUCAGCCACGAGGCCAAUCUUACUGUGUUGCAAGUAUGCAACUGGUUCAUAAACGCGCGCCGGCGCAUCCUGCCCGAGAUGAUAAGGCGCGAGGGCCACGACCCGCUGCACUACACCAUCUCGCGGCGCGGCCGCAAGCAGCCGGGCGGCGCCUCGGGCAGCGGCUCCGGGGUCGUCGUGUCCUGGGACGGGGUCGAGGGGGAAAUUAACGAGCAAGACCGCACCGGCGAGCAGGAGUACAGCGACGGGCUGCUGGUGUACCGCAGCGACGGCGACGAGCUCGGCGACGGCGAGGAGGGCUACUCCUCCAACGACGUCAGCGAGGAGGACGUCAAGUACGGCGCCCCCCACUGGAACUCCGUCGUGCGCUACGGCCCGGAGGACGCGCCCGCCGCGGCCGCCGGGUCUUCUUUCAGAACCGCGGCCGUGGUGACGGUGCGCACGUCGGAGGCUUCCGAGGGCGGCUGGCAGACGCAGAUCGCGCACCCGCUGCGGGGCCGGAUACAGGUGGUGCCGAGCGCGGCGCCGGCGGAGGGCGAGCGCGACAAGUUCAAGUGUCUGUACCUGCUGGUGGAGACCGCCGUGGCCGUGCGGCAGCGCGAGCAGGAGGCCGACCACCUGCCCGGCUAGUGGUGAGCUCGCUUGGGGUUCUAGUGGCUGUGUGCUGGUGGAGACCGUGCGGCAGCGAGCAGGAGGCCGACCACCUGCCCGGCUAGUGGUGAGCUCGCUUGGGGUUCUAGUGGCUGUGUGCUGGUGGAGACCGUGCGGCAGCGAGCAGGAGGCCGACCACCUGCCCGGCUAGUGGUGAGCUCGCUUGGGGUUCUAGUGGCUGUGUGCUGGUGGAGACCGUGCGGCAGCGAGCAGGAGGCCGACCACCUGCCCGGCUAGUGGUGAGCUCGCUUGGGGUUCUAGUGGCUGUGUGCUGGUGGAGACCGUGCGGCAGCGAGCAGGAGGCCGACCACCUGCCCGGCUAGUGGUGAGCUCGCUUGGGGUUCUAGUGGCUGUGUGCUGGUGGAGACCGUGCGGCAGCGAGCAGGAGGCCGACCACCUGCCCGGCUAGUGGUGAGCUCGCUUGGGGUUCUAGUGGCUGUGUGCUGGUGGAGACCGUGCGGCAGCGAGCAGGAGGCCGACCACCUGCCCGGCUAGUGGUGAGCUCGCUUGGGGUUCUAGUGGCUGUGUGCUGGUGGAGACCGUGCGGCAGCGAGCAGGAGGCCGACCACCUGCCCGGCUAGUGGUGAGCUCGCUUGGGGUUCUAGUGGCUGUGUGCUGGUGGAGACCGUGCGGCAGCGAGCAGGAGGCCGACCACCUGCCCGGCUAGUGGUGAGCUCGCUUGGGGUUCUAGUGGCUGUGUGCUGGUGGAGACCGUGCGGCAGCGAGCAGGAGGCCGACCACCUGCCCGGCUAGUGGUGAGCUCGCUUGGGGUUCUAGUGGCUGUGUGCUGGUGGAGACCGUGCGGCAGCGAGCAGGAGGCCGACCACCUGCCCGGCUAGUGGUGAGCUCGCUUGGGGUUCUAGUGGCUGUGUGCUGGUGGAGACCGUGCGGCAGCGAGCAGGAGGCCGACCACCUGCCCGGCUAGUGGUGAGCUCGCUUGGGGUUCUAGUGGCUGUGUGCUGGUGGAGACCGUGCGGCAGCGAGCAGGAGGCCGACCACCUGCCCGGCUAGUGGUGAGCUCGCUUGGGGUUCUAGUGGCUGUGUGCUGGUGGAGACCGUGCGGCAGCGAGCAGGAGGCCGACCACCUGCCCGGCUAGUGGUGAGCUCGCUUGGGGUUCUAGUGGCUGUGUGCUGGUGGAGACCGUGCGGCAGCGAGCAGGAGGCCGACCACCUGCCCGGCUAGUGGUUUCCUGGCCAUUUUCUAAGCGUGUGCUCGAUCACACGAGAAACGAGACCGGGCGUCGUCGGAGGAAGGGUAACUUGUAAAUGCGUUACUUCCGUUGGUCGCUCGAUGGCGAAUAUACGAAACUUCGUCGAAAAAUUUUCUAACGUGGAAAAGUUUUUUGUCAAAAUUAUUAUAAAAUGAAAGUCAAUAGAAACAGUCGUGCUAAGAAAGAUAUAAAAGAAAAAAAUGGAGAUAAUUAUAUCUCUUGUGCUAACAAUUUGUAUCGGAACCCACUAAAUAGAGUAACAAGCACAUUAUGAACGUAUUGUAUGAGAUUUUUUGUAAUUGAGUAUAAAUAUUUUAAGAUAACAAAAUUGUGCCAGAAAUAUUUUUACUUAAUUCAAAAGUACCUUUUGCAUGAUUAUGUAAACUUAAGGCAAUGUUAGAGUAUAUCUUUUGUUUUUGUAAACCCCUCUUUUAUACACUUCUUUGACACACUGGAAUUUUAUAUUCUUCAACACACGUUUUCAUAAUAUAUAAUACAAUUUUAACAGUAGAAUUUUGUUUCUUAUUGAUUUGGAAAAACAUCGUUGGUUUCAAUAUCUACUUUCAAUAUAUUAUGUCAUAUUAUAUACAAUACGACUAAUAAUCCUAACUGCAAAUCCACUGCCACACAGUAAACUAGUUAGAUCGGCCCAUACAUUAGUUUUAAAACUUUAUACGUCCUUGAAAUCUGUGAGUAGUUUUCAAUAAAAUAUAUGCUACCUUUUAUGACAAUGGGUCACGCAUUUUUCUUGUACCUAUAUCCUAUCUAGUAAGGACAAUCAGGUGCGAUUGUUAAAUAUUUUGGAAAUUAUAUGUAAAGCUAGCUUUUGCACGGGUUUCGCCCCGUGGAUAAUUCCAAAAAAAAAAAGGAAUCUAUGUUACUCGUGAUGGUCUAUUCUAUACCUGUGCCGAAUUUCGUGUAAAUCAGUCUAGAGAGGUUAGUGCGAAUUUUACUUGAUCAAACGUUUUGAGCAAGUAAUCACGAAUUUGUAUGGAAUUGCAUUAGUGCCAUCGCGUUACCACUAGGUGGCGCUAAUCGAAUCACACACAAAUUCGCGUUUACUUGCUCGACGCGUUUGAUCGAUUAAAACUCGCAUUAACCCCUCAGUUGCUUGUACUUUAUUAGUAAUCUUAAAUAACGCAUCACCAUAAAAUAGCGAAUUGAGCUACACGGGUAUUGACUUAUCUUCCCUCUGAUAAUAAGUUGAAUUGGACCAAUCGCGCCUAUAAGUUGUGAAAUGGGAGACGAAGGUCAUAAUCAUCCCUAAAAUAAUUAUUGGGUACUCCUACUAUAACAGUAAAAUAUUUUUAUUUUUUUGGUAAAUAUUAUUGUUGAUAAACAUUUUACCUAUCUAAGGUUUUGCCUGUUUUUAUCAGCUGUAUAUUGUUAAACUCCAAUCCAUGCCUUAGCAUAGAGUGCUUAAGACUAUUUAUUUCAAUAAAUUGAAGUCACAUGUUGUAUGAAUAGUUUGAGUGAUAUACCAGUUUUAUUUUUAUAUUAUUCAUUCAGAAUGACGCCAUUUGUCCCGCUGCAAUACUUGUGAGCUAUGAGGAAAAAAAUUACCCGUAGUCCCAAUUUUUGGGGGCAGUGGUGGGAUCACAAAUAAAAAGCGGAUUUGUAAACGCUCCUGAAUGCACGUUAUCCUUAAAAUAUAGUGAUCACACUCAUCGAUAUGUAUCAAGUGGACGAAAAAUAUUUUAUCAAUAGUUUUAUAAGCAAUAUGUAUUUUAUGUAUAUUUAUAAUUAUUAUGAGGUUAGAGGCAUGAUUUGGUCUAUUAAUAUUUAUAUAAUAUUAUCAGUCUGAAUAUAGUCUAGUUUAACAUAGAACUUAGAUGUACCAUUGAUCAUAAAAGGGAAAAAUUAUCCGUGUAAAUAAUUACUCGUAUAUAUUUUCUUUGUAGGUAUAUUGUGCAAUUUGUUUGCCAAAUCAAGUUUGUGAAAAGACUGUAAGGUUUCUCAUCAUAUGAAACAGUUCCUUAGUUUUCUAUUAUAUUGUAGAUCGCGAGAAUUAAUCCGAAAAAAAAUUGCAUGAAAAUUACGGUUAAUUAAUUGAAACUGAUCUUUAAACAAUGUAUAUUACUUAAAAUUAGGUUUUUAGACGCCGGUAAAUCACAAUCUUAAGUUAGUUUUUAACCUUUUACGUGGCGAUUAAUGUUAUUCAAUAAUAUCUUUGCUGUGAAUUGAAUAAACCUCAACGUAAUUCGUACAUUAUGUACACAUCUUCAGCAAAUGUAAUCCAAAUAGUUAUAUUUUCGACAUUUCUGCUUUCUAUGACAUGAUUUUUAAUAUAAAGGCUUAUUCACACGGCGAAGCUUGUUUUUGUAUUUACGUUGUGUUUUGCAUUUGUGCCGUGUGAUAACGCCCGAACACUAUGCGUCGAUCUUAGAUCGUAUUGGGAUAGUUUUUGUUUUGUUCUUUAUGCUUAGUGGCUUAGCGCUUUGUUAUUAUGGCGAUUUGUGGCGUUUGACGUCACUAGUGCAAAUAACUUUGGUCGGAAAGUGUGUGUAACUCAAUACGUUGACCAAAAAUUAUACUUUAGGUGCAAAAAAUUGAGUAAAUACUAAAAAGUUGACAUUCGAAAUUUGCAGUAUCAAUUUUUUAUAUAAAAAAUCUUCUACGCAUCGUAUACCAUAGAGUUUAAUUUUGAUUCAACUUUUGUGCACUGCUACAUUAGUGAAUAGUCACACUGAAUCUUAUCAUAUAUGUUUUUAAACAACAGUAUUGAAAAGUACAGGAGUCAUUUAUCAAUAGUGUAUCUCAGUUACCGCUAGCUUGGGAUCCGCGGGGCAAACAAGUCCCCGUAGCACGCGCGACGCUGUUUUUAUCGCGCGAUAAAUUAUCACUGUUUCACUUUUUAUUAUGACGUCAAACAGGACAGCAAUACACGAUGAUACUCGUGUAUUUUUACGGUGGCUGGUCACCAUUCUUUCCAACCAAUGUUGUUUGUAGUAACUAAGUCACAAGCUACUAAGCACAAGUUGCAAAAGGAUGCGUAUUAGUGACAGGCACGAACGGGAUGUUAUUUUAAUUGAUUGUCUAUUAAUUAAUAUUAGUUUUGAAGGCUUUUUAUUUUAAGGUAAGCUAUGUGUAUGAACAAGCAAAUUUAGGUUAUUUUUUAGAUAUAAUCGAGUCAUCUCAGAAGUUUUGAGUAGCUAUAAUAUGUUUAUUGUGCCUCUUGUGAAUGCGCGGAAUUUUAUUUGCUUUAGUCUAAGGUGUAUUUUCGUUCAGUUUUCGUCCUAAGAAUGUUUUAGUUUACCUGAGUACAAUAACAGGUUCAGGCGUACCACGUAUGUCUUAGCGACUAGAUUUACUGUCUGUACAUAAUAUGUAACCUUGUGUAAGAGCGAAAUUGUUAGCGAUUUAAAUGAAUAAAAUUGAUUUCACUAG